UACGGUCACAUCACGUUGAAACACCAGUUCUCGUAGAUCACCGAAGUUAAGCAACGUCGAAACUGGUCAAUACCGUGAUGGUUGAUCGCUUGGGAAUACCAGAUGCUGUCA